UUGUAUUUAGUAAAAUGGGUCUGGCAUGUUAAAUUUCAUUUGAAAAUUUUGUUAUAUGCUCUGAAAUCCGCAAAAUAUGACUGGAUAAUUUAUGAAAUCUAUUUUUCUAUAUAUAUGCAUUCUCAGCAUGGCUAUGAUCUGUUCUGCUCUGUUCUGGCCCUGCCAAUGGGAAUUAUACGUUGGACCUGUCGACUUGUAAUCUGUGAGGAACCGGUUUCGACACCGCACCACCGGUGAUUAGAAUAGUGGUUUCUGGACACCGGCUGCCAUCGGUGGGUAAAUAUAGUGGAUUUGGCACCUUGUGCGAUCCAUGCCACUGGGUUACGUGGCCGUAGCUUAUUA
rnacentral:lncRNA from 1 species